rnacentral:tRNA from 17 species
UCCGUCGAUUUUCAAAAUCGUGAGGGUUCAAGUCCCUCUAUCCCCAAAAA